rnacentral:rRNA from 1 species
UACGUAGGUGGCAAGCGUUGUCCGGAUUUACUGGGCGUAAAGGGAGCGUAGGCGGACUUUUAAGUGGGAUGUGAAAUACCCGGGCUUAACCUGGGUGCUGCAUUCCAAACUGGGAGUCUAGAGUGCAGGAGGGGAAAGUGGAAUUCCUAGUGUAGCGGUGAAAUGCGUAGAGAUUAGGAAGAACACCGGUGGCGAAGGCGACUUUCUGGACUGUAACUGACGCUGGAGGCUCGAAAGCGUGGGGAGCGAACAGG